rnacentral:lncRNA from 1 species
GAGUUACUUCGGAAAAAUAAAUAUGGAACACUUCUAAUUUAUAAAUAAAGAAAACUAAUUUCCUACCAUUCACGUAAAGGUUCCCAGAAGUCUGUGUAACAAGCAUUUAACUAUUAUGCUAUC